AAACAACACUUGAGAUGCGUCACCAUUCUUCUUCUUCUUUCUUUUUUUCUUCUUCGGUCAAUCAGUUGCAAAUCUCUCAACUCUCACUUUUUUAGGGAUUGAAAUUGUGAAAAAAUCCAGAGCUAGAAGAACGGCAAGGCCAAGGCCAAUUUCAGCACACGAAGAAUUUUUCCUUAAUGCUAGCAGUGAUGGACUUUGUGCUAUCUGCUAGGUUUUCUUUUUCUGAUCUGUAUUAUUAUAGGGAAUUCUGGAACUGAUUGAAACAAAGGGGUGAAUUGACCCAUUUUUUAUACCUAUAAGGGCUUAUUUCCCCCAUUUAUGAAAGUAUAAGGGCUUCAAUAUAUC